rnacentral:lncRNA from 1 species
AAUUAUUGAGUAGUGCCUUCUUACGUACGAAUCAAUAAUUCAACAAUACUGUGCAAUACCGUUUGCUACUGUGCCACCACGCGUAUUACUGUAUUUUAACCACCAGGUAAUCUAACAGUGUUAACGGUAACAAUUACGCCGUUAUUUAUAAAACUCAAACUUUGUCGUUUUUCUUCAUCCAACCGUUUUCCGUUAUGGGGCCCACAAUUAACUGUGCCGUCGUACGGAUAUUCUCAACAAAAAGAAUAUUCCACGACCAAACGAAUAUUCUCCGACAAAAGGAAUAUUUUAUAACCACUUGCUUAUUUUGUAAAAUUUGCACAUUUCACCCAUAACCAAAGCAUUAUAUCAAAUUAACCCUUAUUAAUUUAGAAUAAUGAAUGAAGGAAAAAUUUAAUUUUAUUUAUAAUAAGUUGGGGUCUUACAACCUCCCCUCUUUAUAAAAUUUCGUCAUCGAAAUUGACGUACGUUCUUGGAGUUUCGAACAGGUGAGGGUACCUCGCCUUCAUUUCUAAUUCCAACUCCCAGGUCAUUUCUUCAAUAGCAUGGUUCCUCCACAAAACUUUAACUUGUGGUAUAACCUUAGUGCGUAGGACAUGUUCUUUCCUAUCCAAGAUCUUAACAGGUACCUCCUCAUACGUUAAAUUUCGGCUAUCUCGUCUGGUUCUAACUCAAUAAUGUGGUUCGGGUCUUUCACAUAUUUACGAAGUAUAGAUAUAUGAAAAACAUUAUGAACAUGAGACAUGUUUGGAGGUAAUGCGAGUCUAUAGGCUAUAUUUCCUAUUCGGUUAAGAAUCUCAAAUGGACCAACAAAUCUUGGAUUGAGCUUUUCUCUCUUUCUAAAUCUUGUAACUCCUUUCCAUGGAGCAAUACGUUAUAAUACAUGAUCCCCAAUAUUAAAUUCCACGUCCUUUCGAUGAAGAUCAACAUAAUUCUUUUGUCGAUCUUGUGAGGUUUGACUACGUUGUCGAAUCAUUUGGAUCUUUUCUGUAGUCAUGCGUACUAAUUCUGGUCCCAACAACGUUGUUUCUCCCACCUCGUCCCAGCAUACUGGAGAACGACACUUUCGUCUAUACAACGCCUUAAAUGGAGCCAUGCCUAUACUUGCUUGAUAACUGUUGUUGUAGGAGAAUUCCACCAGAGGCAAGUACUUAUCCCAACUUCCUUUGAAAUCUAGGACACAGAGUCUUAAUAGAUCUUCAAGGGUUUGAAUAGUCCUCUCUGAUUGUCCGUCCGUUUGAGGAUGAUAUGCUGAACUGAAUCGUAAAUCCGUGCCUAUAGCUUUCUGCAAGCUAACCCAAAAUCUUGAAGUGAAUCUUGGGUCACGAUCCGAAACUAUGGAUACUGGCAUGUCAUUCAAUCUCACAAUCUCGUUCACGUACAUACGAGCAAGACGUUCAAGGGAAAAAGUCUCACGUAUCGGCAAGAAAUGAGCAGACUUGGUUAAUCUAUCAACAAUAACCCAAAUCGCAUCUAUGCCUUGAGAAACUUUGGGAAGACCUAUAACGAAAUCUAUGGUAAUGUGUUCCCACUUCCAUUCUGGAAUCUCAAGUGGUUGUAAUGGACCUUUUGGCACUUAAUGUUCCGCCUUUACUCGUUGACAAGUUAAACACCUCGAGAUAAACUCCGCGAUUUCUCUCUUCAUAUUGUUCCACCAAAAUGUGUCGAAUAUCAUGAUACAUUUUGGUACUCCCAGGAUGGAUUGCAAACGGGGUGUUGUGUGCCUCCAUCAUGAUUCUAUGCUUUAAGUCAGAAUUGUUAGGAACGCAAAGUCUAGAGUUGACUCGAAGUAUUCCUUCUUCAUCGAUUCUUGCUUCUGGAAUAGCUUCUUCUUGCACUUUCUUCUUUAUAUGCAUCAGCCUCAGGUCCGUAGCUUGAGCAGCUUUAACUUUAUCAAUUAAAGUCGGUUCUACUCGUAUAUUCGCCAUCAUUACGUGGGUCCCUGGAGUCUUUAAUUCUAUCUCCAUCCUUUGCAAGUCAUACAAAAUGAGCCUUUGUGUUGACAAUAUCGCACUCGUACUCGCAUAUGAUCUUUUACUCAAUGCGUCAGCUACUACGUUCGUUUUUCCAGGAUGAUAUUGAAUAGUGUGAUCGUAAUCUUUCAACAUCUCAAGCCAACGUCGUUGCCGCAUAUUGAGUUCUUUUUGGGUGAAGAAAUAUUUGAGGCUUUUAUGGUCCGUAUAAAUCUCCACUUUCUCCCCAUACAGGUAGUGUCUCCAAAUUUUCAACGCGAAUACGACUGCUGCCAACUCNNNNNNNNNNNNNNNNNNNNNNNNNNNNNNNNNNNNNNNNNNNNNNNNNNNNNNNNNNNNNNNNNNNNNNNNNNNNNNNNNNNNNNNNNNNNNNNNNNNNNNNNNNNNNNNNNNNNNNNNNNNNNNNNNNNNNNNNNNNNNNNNNNNNNNNNNNNNNNNNNNNNNNNNNNNNNNNNNNNNNNNNNNNNNNNNNNNNNNNNNNNNNNNNGCGAGGUAGCGGAUACCUAUUCUUGAUGGUGACAUGGUUUAAUUCUCGGUAGUCAAUACAAAGUCGCAUACUCCCAUCUUUCUUCUUUACGAAUAAAACAGGAGCACCCCAAGGAGAUGUACUAGGACGAAUAAAACCGAUGUCUAACAAUUCCUGUAGUUGGACUUUCAACUCCUGAAGUUCAAUAGGAGCCAUUCGAUAUGAGAUUUUAGAAAUGGGCUUUGUACCCGAUUCAAGGUCAAUAAAGAAUUCAACAUCACGUUCUGGGGGUAGACCGGGAAGUUCUUCAGGAAAUACAUCAGAAAAUUCUCUAACAACAGAAAUAUUAUCCAAAUCUGACUUGUCUUUAUUCAAAUCCAUAACAUAGGCUAAGAAAGCUUGACAUCCGUUUUUCAAUAAACGAAUAGCUUUGUGGCUUGAUAUAACAGUGACUGAUUUUAGUGGUUUAGUUGUUUGAAUUCGUAUGACAGGUUGGUUAGAAAUAUGAAAACUAACAACCUUACGAAAAUAAUCAAUUUUGGCAUGAUGAGUGGUUAACCAAUCAAUUCCUAAAAUCACAUCAAAUGCAAGUAUCUUUAAAGAAAUAAGAUCAACAGGUAAUGUGAUAGUGCCAACUUGGAUUAAGCAAGAUUUAUAAACUGUAGAUGUAACGAAGGUUUCACCCAACAGUUUCAACAGAUAAGUUAAAAUCCAAUUUCUCCGGAGUCAAGUUUAAACGUUGAGCACAAGCAGGAGAGAUAAAAGAAUGGGUAGAACCGGUAUCUAGUAAGGUAUAAGCUUCGCAAGAAUUCAAGAUUAGGUUACCCGUGAUCACCUCGUUCGGGUUCUUCACGUUUUGGCCAGUCACGACAAACGCUCUUCCAGGAACCGCUGAUUUCGACUUAUCCGGGACAACCCUUGGAGUCGCUAUCCCCGCUGAACUUGGUUUUGCUACAGAACAAUCCCGAGCUAUGUGACCUUUUCCACAGUUAUAACAUACCUUGGAUUGUUGUGGACAGUUUGGGCUGAUAUGUCCCUCUUUACCGCAUUUGUAACAUCUAACUGGCGGUCGUUCUCCUCCCCUAGAAUUGGUUGUUGGUGCUGGUGCUGUUGUUGAUGUCUUCCCGUCAUUGUUGAAUCUCCUCUCUGAAAUUUUCACUUGACUCACCUCUCCUAUUAUCAUGGCCACGAUAACCACCCGAGUGGUUACCGCCUUUGUCCGUAUUUUUCCCUCCUCGCUGGUUAUCAUCGUUCUGAUGAUUGCUGUCACCGAUAUGACCCUGGUUGUGGUCCCUCGGUUGAGUAUACUCAUUAUCUCGCUAUAAUAAUUGAGUCCUGUUGACAUCUGAAUACAGAGAAAAUUUAUGAGAGAUAAGGUAUUGACGAAUCUCGGGUUUUAGACCUCUCAGAAACAUCCGCGUCAUACGUUUCUCAUUCUCUACCAAAUGAGGUGCAAACCUGGAUAACUCUGCGAACUUCGCCUCGUACUGAGACACCGUCAUGUUUUGUUCCAGUCUAAUAAACUCUACCUCCUUCAUAUGACGAAUACUUUCAGGAAAGUACUUGUCAUUGAACAAUUUCUGAAAUCUUUCCCAAGACAUGUUAAGUGCGGCUGGCUGGGUACGCUUCACAGAUUCCCACCAGUAAUCUGCCUCACCACGGAACAUAAAAGUGGCGAAUGGAACCUUCUGUUCCUCCGUGCAUCCCAAGACAUCGAAUAUCUUGGUAAUUUGCUUGACCCAUGUUUCCGCCUUAAUCGGAUCGGGCUUUCCCCAUAAAUCUGGUGGUCCCAACUCCUUGAACUACUUGGCUGUGACAGACCGUGCGUUGCCAUCAUUUUCACCCGUAUUUUGUACACGAGUCUCCCUCGUCUGAUUUUGCAUGAACUGCAAAAAGCUCCUAAACAUUCCAUCAUUCAUCGUUUGCUCGGUAGUGUUGUUUACAGGAGGAAUCUUGCCUUCGUGUUGCACGUUCUCCUGGUUUGUGACUAAAGGUUGUUCCACAGUCUCAUACACUCCAUUAUUAACGUUCUCAGCAGCCAUUCUUAAAUACUGCCAUAAAACGAGGGUUAAUUAAACAAAUUAACAUAUCACAUAAUAUCCCUAUAUUAUGACCGACCAACAAAUAAGCUUAGAUAGGACACGCUAGCGAAGGAUUUACUCAUCUCUCCCCUCCUAGUUCUAUUCCCCGAUCUCCGCCAGAGACCAUAUCCCUAAGCUUUGAUACCAACUGUGGCGCCCCCAAAAUAGGUAUACAACACCCAUUCUAAGUCGUCAAAUACAUGGUACAGAAAGCAAACUACAACUUCAAUAAUACAAUUGUCGUGCAAAAUAUGACAACACAUACUGUUAGUUUAAAUACAAAUAUUGUCUUCUAGACAAUAUCAAUACUCAAAUAAGUCCUCAUUACAAUUACUCAUACACUAUUUUACAGAAAUAGUGAGGACUGCUAAAACAUCUUUCUAGAACCAUUACUCCAUACCCCGACUCGAUCCUGCUAUGUUUUCACCUCCUUAAAAGAAAAAUGGAACAAAAAGGAAAAGGGUGAGCUCAACUAUCCCAGUAAAGAAUAUUAUGACUAAGAUAAUAUACAAUAAAUUAUCAUUAGUCUUCAACAGGGAAAAAUCUGAUAGAAUAUAAUAGACAACAAGUUUUAGAUCAAUAUUCUGCAGCGGAAACAACAAUCCAUUAGAAGAGUCACGUAGAGAAUGAAUUCUACUAUCUUCUAAGAUUUAAAAGUUCAUCAUCAAUAUUUUAUCUUUGUAACAACAAUCAAUAUACAUCUUUAAUUAAAUAGUCAUCUUUGCACUACAGGCCAAAGAUAUUCAUUCGUAUCACCAGUUGGUCAUGUUCAUCUCAACACCUGUUCAUCUUUGCACUACGGGCCAAAGAUAUUCAGCAGUUAAUCAUUCAUCUUUGCACUACAGGCCAAAGAUAUUCAGUAAUAUCAUCAUUUAGGACCGAGGAUGAUGAAAAAUAUUUUAAAGAAAACGAAUCCAGUGAGACAGAAGGACAAAUAUUAGGGAUUCUUAUUACAGUUUAUCCAAGAUCAAUAAUACUCCAUAAUAACCAAAUUUUGAAGCAGAAUUCAAAACUGCCGAUCAAAACAUGGAUACAAUCAAAGAUAGUAACCAUAAUAGACAUCUUGGACAAAAAGAAGAAAUUUCAUUUUUCGGUGAAUAGUGCCGUAUUCGUGAAUAGUGCCGUAUACGUGAAUAGUGUCGUAUACGUGAAUAGUAACCCCGACAUAAAAAGUUCCAAAUUUGAUUAAAAAGUUCACCAAUAUUUCGGUAUAAUGAUAUUGAAGAAAAUAAUAUCAUUUGAGAAGAAAAUAACAUCCCUUACCUCAAAAUAACGGUACUUCUGAUCGGAAUAUCAGAUAUAAAGCCGAAGGAAACUUCUACCGAACAACUCUCAAAGUAUCAAAAUGCUCACAAAAAUACGCUCGAUAAUCUAGAGAGAAAGAAAACUUGUUUCUGGUGUGAUUUUCAAUUCUAACCUAAGCACCUAUUUAUAGGAAAAUGCUAGAACGCCAAAGGAGACUAAAAUAAUAAAAUAUUAUUUUCUUUUAUUUCUUCCACGCAUGCCUACUUUGUUGAACAAGCCAACCACCUUUGAACCAAAAAAAUAGCAGCCCACAUGUGUUAAAACACAAGUGGGUCCCACCCAUAAAAAUCAAUUUUAUUUUUCGAAACUUCAAUAAUUCAUAGAAAAUAGCCCGUUUAUCAGAAAAAUACGAAUUUUAUGUCCAUUCCACACGAAAUCGAAUUCUCUACAACUUUGUAUCUUUGAGUUUUUCCAAAUUCCAAAUAGAAAAUAUCCGAAAUCCACAAACGGAUGAUUUUUAAUAUUUCUACUCCGACAAAACACCUCAGCAUUAAUUCCUUUAUUAAUAACCACAUAAAAUAAAUAAAUCCAUCAUUUAUAUCCACAUCAUUUAUUCAUAUAAAUCAAUAAUUAAUUAUUCACAAAUAAUAUUACAGAAUCACAAUUAUGACAACCAGGCAGUUCCCAGGAAAGAGGGGGCUUUCCAAUAAGGAUUUUUUCUUACUGGCGCGCAAUUAGGUGACCAAACCUCUCCUUGACAGAACUUUUUAGACAUUGCCAAUAAUGCUAUCUAAUAAUAUUAUUCAAAUAAUAUGAAUUAUUGAUCUGAUAAUGGGAAAUACUGUGCAGUGACAAUUAUUGAAACAAUAAUAAUAUAAACUAUCAAUGCAACAAUUAUUGAAUCAAUAAAAUAAAAUAUUGAACUGUAACUACUGUAACAAUUAUUGAGUAGUGCCUUCUUACGUACGAAUCAAUAAUUCAACAAUACUGUGCAAUACCGUGUGCUACUGUGCCACCACGCGUAUUACUGUAUUUUAACCACCAGGUAAUCUAACAGUGUUAACGGUAACAAUUACGCCGUUAUUUAUAAAACUCAAACUUUGUCGUUUUUCUUCAUCUAACCGUUUUCCGUUAUGGGGCCCACAAUUGACUGCGCCGUUGUACGGAUAUUCCCGACAAAAAGAAUAUUCUACGACCAAACGAAUAUUCCCCGACAAAAGGAAUAUUUUAUAACCACUUGCUUAUUUUAUAAAAUUUGCACAUUUCACCCAUAACCAAAGCAUUAUAUCAAAUUAACCCUUAUUAAUUUAGAAUAAUGAAUAGAGGAAAAAUUUAAUUUUAUUUAUAAUAAGUUGAGGUCUUACACUUUGUACGAUGACGUACCAAGUUACAAAAUAAGUAUUCAGUAUCAACUACAAUUAGAAUAUGUGGUACGUCCCUAAUUUUGUCUAUUUGAUUUUUCAUUUACAUUUAUGUUAGUGUUCUAAUAUUAUGUUUUUUCAAUGUAUGUUAUUUCGUCGCAAAAGCCAUGCGGAUUUACAACCCCGAGAAAAAAAUUCCUAAAGCAAAAAAUGGCGUGUGCAUUCAAGGCAAUUCGAACUAAAUAAAAGAAUGUUUUGGAUUGCGGAGUCUGUGAUGAAAUACGUUGACUAUGUUGUCCAAGACAUGUCUUUUAGGGGAAGGUUAACCAGUCCGAAGAAGAUGCCUCCUUAUUUAAGUAUAGAAUUGUCCAUGAAUUGCGUAAACAUAGGGCUAGAGAUAUAAAUUUUACACUUAAUUACUAGAGUUAUAGAUGUAUCUUAAUUUGUACACUUAAUAUACAAUUAAUUUUAUGUGAAAUCCAAACAGGGAUUUUUUUUAAAAAGGGCAUCCGACUUUGCUCCUACUCUACGAUUUUGAUCCUACUCUACGUUUUUGCUCCAACUACGAUUUUUUUGUGAC